rnacentral:rRNA from 1 species
UAGAGGAAGUAAAAGUCGUAACAAGGUUUCCGUAGGUGAACCUGCGGAAGGAUCAUUAGAGUAUGAUUGAAGGGGGUUUCAGAUGCCGCGCUUGCGUGUGCGCCCUCCUGGUCCCAUCUUUACUACACCUGUGCACCUAUGGUGAGCGUCUCCCGUUCGGAGCCGUCCCGCGCCCUUUGGGCGUCGGACUGGGGCGCUCCCAUCUUAACAUUUACACCCCAUCUUAACAACGCAUGUCAUUGUCCCAAAAAGUUAAUACAACUUUCAACAACGGAUCUCUUGGCUUUUGCAUCGAUGAAGAACGCCGCGAACGUGCGAAACGUAAUGUGAAUUGCAGAAUUCAGUGAAUCAUCGAAUCUUUGAACGCAUCUUGCGCCCCUUGGAAUUCCGAGGGGCAUGCCUGUUUGAGUGUCGUGUACUACCCUCAGGCUUACCUCUUUGUUGAGGUGGGCUUGGAUUUGGACGUCUGCGGGGGGGGAGGGUUUACCCUUCGGGGUCUCGCCGCCCGCUCGUCUUUAAAUGCAUUAGCUUUGGUCUUGGUUCCAGCGAGGGCGUGAUAACAAACGCUUCGUUGACCGUGGCGCCGCUCGUUCGGUGGCCGAGGCCUGCUUACAGUCGUCUUCGGACAAAAGUGUUGACGUUUGACCUCAAAUCAGGUAGGGCUACCCGCUGAACUUAAGCAUAUCAAUAA